CGGGGUCCUGGGAUCGAGUCCCACAUUGGGCUCCAUGCAGGGGGCCUGCUUCUCCCUCUGCCUAUGUCUCUGCCUCUCUCUCUCAAUCUCUCAAGAAUAAGUAAAUAAAAUAUUUUUUAAAAAAGAAUAAAUUGAUUGGUCUGGUCCACGCAGAGAGCUGGGUGUGCAAGAAAGAGGAGGCAGGCAAAGAGCCAGGGUGUUAGGAGAAGUGGGGUGAGAGAGAGCAAAGGAAGAUGUGGGAAGGUUGAUUAAAGCACGAGGGAGUUCCAAGAAGGGCAGGCAUGGCCAGGGCUCAGCAGCAAGCCAGUGUGAGGGCCCAUGUAGCAGAACCACUUCCUAUGCAGUGACCACUGGGCGCAGCGGGGGGCAGGGAAUGACACUUGGACGGGCAGAAUGAAUAUUGAGGCUGGUGCUCACCAUCUUCAGAGCCAAGAGGUGGCCUUCUAAUCCUGUCUGCACUCACACGGGAGCCAGAACCCCCUCUCCUGACCCCCAUUCAAAGCUCAUCAUGCCAGGCACAGAUGGCAUUGCCCAUCAGUGCCCAAGGGCCAAGGGGAGCAAGAUUCAGCCUCUGCUCCAGUUACUGGAAAAAAAAAUCCACUCCUGCCAAGUGUUCCAUGAGUCUUGGUAGAGUUUUACUGAACAUUUGGGGAUGGAAAGAAGGCUAUAUUGGCAGAGUGUUACAUCUCCCCAUCUUCUUGUGUCCAUUCUACAGACUCACCACAGAGUUCUGGAGCAUGGGUCCAUGUGCCAACAACUGUGGUAGACCUAAACUGUCUACUGGGGACUCCACGAUGGAGAUGUCUGAAGGACAAGAAAAAACUAAAAUUUACUGGGAAAAUGAAAAGAGAUAUGGAUAAUUUCUAAUCAGCAUGUAGAGGAUUUCAGCUACUGUACCUCCCCUUCGACACAAUAGGAGUUGCUCCCCCAGCCCCUUACACAGCAGCUUACAGAGCAUCAUAUGUCACUUGAGGAUGUCUCACUUUAGGGUCAUACCUUCCACCUUAAUCAAUUUAUUGAAGUGUUUCUUCUAAACAAAUCUCACGCUUUCUCCAAGAAUAAUCCCAGAGAAUUUUCUUUAUCUUCCUUAUUGUCACAGUGUCAGUAUUGAGAAGUCUGUGGAUCCAAUUAUUAAAAGGGUUCAUCAGAGAAUGCAGCCACCUACUUGGGGUCAAAGAGGUUCCAGAUAUCUCCUGCCCAGCCUUAGCACCAUGGGAUACCAAGAGUGAGGUCUGGGCCCCCCUGGAAGUCUGGGCAUGAAAAUAUAAACAGAUCUCCCAGACAAGAAGCUCCAGCCACCCCCCGUCCCCACCAGGAGCUAUUAACUGUGGAUUGCUGGCCAGGGGUUGCCCCUCUGUCCCAAGCUUCCAGCCACUUGGUUCAGUUUCUUUCCAUGCCUUCUUCCUGCCUCACGGAAAUAGAAGUUUUAUAGUCAUGUAAUUUUGGCACAGCAGAGAUUUCAUGUCAAGAAAAACUAGAAUUGGUGCUGGGUCAUUGCUAUUGAAACUAACACACCAUUUUACACUUGCUCUGAAAGGGCCCUCCUCUCAACUCCCGCUCCCAGGCUCCCCUCUCUUGUGUAGCCUUUUGUGCGGCUCCUUUGGUUUUUCUGCUCUUCAGAUGUGCACACAGUUUAAAUAACAUUCCUUCCUGAAUUUGUUCCUUCAUUUCCCCAGCUUCUGUGCUUGGGGGCUCUCCAGCUCCCAUCCUUUUUCUUUCUUGCUAAUGUUCUCUUCUCCAUCCUUUGUUGACAGGCCAAUUUAUUCAGCACUGGCCUCCCCCUUCCUCUCCUCCCUGUUUUCCAUUCCUCACACUUCUCCUGACAAAAAGUCCCCAAACAGUGAGUGUGUGUGUGUGUGUGUGUGUGCGCGCGCGCGCGUGUGCACGCACACGCUUGCGUGUGUUUGAGAUCUAGGAGAAUAACAUCUAUUUUUGUCUCCUUAUCCCUGAAGAGGUGGGAAGAAGUGUCUUUUCCUCCCCGACAAAUUCUCCUAAAAGUCCAGUGUGGUCAGUCUGGACACAGGCUCAAUUUUAUGCAUAGGUUAAGGGCUAUGUGAUUCGUAGGGUGCUGGGAAGGCCACUGAAGCGGUCACUCUUGGUUGCCUGCCCAUCAGCCAUUUCUCCCUUUCUCCUUCCUAAAUGAACCCGGACUCUGUGUGGCAUGUGCCUCCUGCUCAGCCAGGGGCUCCAGAGGAGGUGGGCUCUCUUCUCUUUUCCUGGCUGGGAAUCAUGAUUGGUCUAACUAAUCUUGAGAGUUGCAUUCCCCUUGUCUGUGAUUGGUGUAGGCAUGGGCAUGCGAAACAAAUCUAACCAAUGAGAAUGAAGAAAUCAGCUGCAAGAGGGGGACAUCUGGGAAAGAUUUUCCUCUAUCUUUAAAAGAUAACACAGAGAAAAAGAGUCCUUCUUAAUGCCUGGAUAUGUUGUCUGGAAGCUGUGAUGUUGAGAGCUGCUACAGAUAUCUUGAAAACAUGAGAAGACAAGCCCCCAGGGAAAAGCCAUUAUGCUGAGAAUAGCAGAAAAGAAAUAUGAAAAGGAGUUGAGUCUUGACAUCCUUGUCCUGCUGAAGUUUCUUACUCUGGAUUUCCUGUUUUUGAGAUAAUAAAUCCCCUCCCUUUAAAG
rnacentral:lncRNA from 12 species